GUGGACGCCAGUCUGCAUGGAGCCGACCUUGAAAUACCACCCUUUAAUGUUUGAUGUUCUAACGUGGACCCGUUACCCGGGUUGCGGACAGUGUCUGGUGGGUAGUUUGACUGGGGCGGUCUCCUCCUAAAGAGUAACGGAGGAGCACGAAGGUUGGCUAAUCCUGGUCGGACAUCAGGAGGUUAGUGCAAUGGCAUAAGCCAGCUUGACUGCGAGCGUGACGGCGCGAGCAGGUGCGAAAGCAGGUCAUAGUGAUCCGGUGGUUCUGAAUGGAAGGGCCAUCGCUCAACGGAUAAAAGGUACUCCGGGGAUAACAGGCUGAUACCGCCCAAGAGUUCAUAUCGACGGCGGUGUUUGGCACCUCGAUGUCGGCUCAUCACAUCCUGGGGCUGAAGUAGGUCCCAAGGGUAUGGCUGUUCGCCAUUUAAAGUGGUACGCGAGCUGGGUUUAGAACGUCGUGAGACAGUUCGGUCCCUAUCUGCCGUGGGCGCUGGAGAACUGAGGGGGGCUGCUCCUAGUACGAGAGGACCGGAGUGGACGCAUCACUGGUGUUCGGGUUGUCAUGCCAAUGGCACUGCCCGGUAGCUAAAUGCGGAAGAGAUAAGUGCUGAAAGCAUCUAAGCACGAAACUUGCCCCGAGAUGAGUUCUCCCUGAGACUUUAGGUCUCCUGAAGGAACGUUGAAGACGACGACGUUGAUAGGCC
rnacentral:rRNA from 1 species